UACGAAGGGGGCUAGCGUUGCUCGGAAUCACUGGGCGUAAAGCGCACGUAGGCGGACUCUUAAGUCGGUGGUGAAAUCCUGGAGCUCAACUCCAGAACUGCCUUCGAUACUGAGAGUCUCGAGUCCGGGAGAGGUGAGUGGAACUGCGAGUGUAGAGGUGAAAUUCGUAGAUAUUCGCAAGAACACCAGUGGCGAAGGCGGCUCACUGGCCCGGUACUGACGCUGAGGUGCGAAAGCUAGGGGAGCGAACGGG
rnacentral:rRNA from 1 species